UACGGAGGAUCCGAGCGUUAUCCGGAUUUAUUGGGUUUAAAGGGUGCGCAGGUUGUUUGAUAAGUCAGUGGUGAAAGUCUGUCGCUUAACGGUAGGAUUGCCAUUGAUACUGUUAGACUUGAAUAUGGAUGAGGUAGGCGGAAUGUGUAGUGUAGCGGUGAAAUGCAUAGAUAUUACACAGAACACCGAUUGCGAAGGCAGCUUACUAAUCCAUCAUUGACGCUGAGGCACGAAAGCGUGGGGAGUCAAACAGGA
rnacentral:rRNA from 1 species